AUUGAACGCUGGCGGCAGGCUUAACACAUGCAAGUCGAGCGGGGGAAGGUAGCUUGCUACCGGACCUAGCGGCGGACGGGUGAGUAAUGCUUAGGAAUCUGCCUAUUAGUGGGGGACAACAUCUCGAAAGAGAUGCUAAUACCGCAUACGUCCUACGGGAGAAACCAGGGGAUCUUCGGACCUUGCGCUAAUAGAUGAGCCUAAGUCGGACUAGCUAGUCGGUGGGGUAAAGGCCUACCAAGGCGACGAUCUGUAGCGGGUCUGAGAGGAUGAUCCGCCACACUGGGACUGAGACACGGCCCAGACUCCUACGGGAGGCAGCAGUGGGGAAUAUUGGACAAUGGGGGGAACCCUGAUCCAGCCAUGCCGCGUGUGUGAAGAAGGCCUUAUGGUUGUAAAGCACUUUAAGCGAGGAGGAGGCUACUCUAGUUAAUACCUAGGGAUAGUGGACGUUACUCGCAGAAUAAGCACCGGCUAACUCUGUGCCAGCCGCCGCCGUAA
rnacentral:rRNA from 1 species